AAUUGGAGGGCAAGUCUGGUGCCAGCAGCCGCGGUAAUUCCAGCUCCAAUAGCGUAUAUUAAAGUUGUUGCAGUUAAAAAGCUCGUAGUUGAAUUUCGGGAUUGACACAUCGGUCGUGCCUUAAGGGGUAUGAACUGGUGUAGUCAAUUUCUCACCUUCUGGAGAACGGCGAUGCCCUUAAUUGGGUGUCGCGGGGAACCAGGACCUUUACUUUGAAAAAAUUAGAGUGUUUAAAGCAGGCAUUUUGCUUGAAUACAUUAGCAUGGAAUAAUAAAAUAGGACGGCAUGAUUCUAUUUUGUUGGUUUCUAGGAUCACCGUAAUGAUUAAUAGGGAUAGUUGGGGGCAUUAGUAUUCAAUUGUCAGAGGUGAAAUUCUUGGAUUUAUUGAAGACUAACUACUGCGAAAGCAUUUGCCAAGGAUGUUUUCAUUAAUCAAGAACGAAAGUUAGGGGAUCGAAGACGAUCAGAUACCGUCGUAGUCUUAACCAUAAACUAUGCCGACUAGGAAUCAGACGAUGUUAAUUUUUUAAUGACUCGUUUGGCACCUUACGGGAAACCAAAGUGU
rnacentral:rRNA from 1 species